rnacentral:rRNA from 1 species
UGCCAGCCGCCGCGGUAAUACAGAAGGCCCGAGCGUUAAUCAGAGUUACUGGGCUUAAAGCGUGCGCAGGCUGUCCAGAAAGUAUCCCGUGAAAUCCCUCGGCUCAACCGGGGAACUGCGGGGUAAACCGCUAGACUUGAGAAAGGUAGGGGCUGAUGGAACCAUGAGUGGAGCGGUGAAAUGCGUAGAUAUUCAUGGGAACGCCGAUGGGGAAGCCGAUCAGCUGGGCCUUUUCUGACGCUCAUGUACGAAAGCGUGGGGAGCAAACAGGAUUAGAUA